rnacentral:lncRNA from 10 species
GAAGAAGCCCUACCUCCACCGCCCUCAAGCUGGUCUCUCCAUCUUGCAGCCCGAGGGAGGCCUGAUGUGGCGUGAGGCUGUGGUCUGCAGAGUGGAAGGCUCCAAGAACCUGGUUUGGAGUCUCACCUUCUGUGUCUCCAGUUAAUACGAGGAAGUAAGUACAGCCUGGAAUUCCCCUCCUACUGGAAAACUGGACAACAAGCAAUACAUGAUUAUGAUCCCUAGGAAAAGAGAAACAAAUACGGUUCAUUCCAGCCUGAAGACAUUUUCGAUAGCGG